AUUAGACAAAAGAGGUCCCAGGACAGACCUCAUGCACUUGGGACUCUCUGCUUGAUACCGGCUGCCAACUAGAUAUGAAGCCAUUGAUUACUACCCGUGGAGCCCGAUUAUCUAGCCAGCUUUCUAUCUACCUUACAGUCCAUUCAUCCAGCCCAUACUUCUUUAAAUUGCUGGCAAUAAUACUGUGGGACACUGUAUCAAAAGCUUUGCUAAAGUCAAGGAAUAACAUGUCUACUACUUUCCCCUCAUCCACAGAGCCA